GAACUCAACAAUCGCUCCUGCCUUUUUCCACUCGGUUUUCGCCUCUCAAAAUUCUCCGCAAACUAGGUAGACGAAUCAAUACCGUUUGGUGUCGGUUUACAAAAUUGAUGUGGCUUGGUGGGGUUAAUGUCGGGAUUAAAGGUAGGCUAUCAAACAAAAUAGAAAAGGUUAAGUGUGGCUGGAAAUGAAUUUAGUACUUCAGGUAGCAAACAAUGCUUUUACAAACUCAAAAUGAAUUUCAAUCACUCUUUUUUUUUUCAAUUUCAAUUUUUUUUCUUUUUUCUUUUUCAAUACAGAAUACAACAAGGAAAAAUUAAUUGAAUACAAAAUUUUUUUUUUGAAUUUUUUUUUGAAUUUUUUUUGAAUUUUUUUGAUUUUUUUUACAAUACCGUAAUACUGAAGACAACGAUUCUUACUCCAAUUCAGCUAGCUCUGAUAGCAAAUGAUACGCCCCGGCCUUGGUGAUAAGAGUCGAGUCGUUGAUGUGCCUGAUCGUGAAUUGGAGUAAUAUUAAGGUUUGUCGAAAAUGGGUUAAGAAAGAAAAGAUAAAGGCUCAAAUUAGUUCAAAAGUGGUGAUGGAAUGUAUUGAGGUUGAUAUGUGAACGAAAAUAAAGUAUUCAAGUUGAACCAACACAAUAUAAGUGUGUUAACCCGGCACUUAUAUGAAUACUUAGGUAUGUUUGUAUGGAUGGAAAACGAAUAAAAUGGAACCUUGACCCGCUAUCAAAGAUGAUAGGAACCUCGGUAUAAUUUGAACGCCACACUUUGGCUACAAAGUGAUAAGUUCGGAAAGAAAGACGGGUUGAUGCCACAAGGGUUACUUGAUAAGUCAGACGAGUCUUUGGAGAACAAUGAGAGUUGAAAACAAACUCACAAAGUAAUCAGAUAUCAUAUAAGAUUCAAAAGUAUAUUGUCU
rnacentral:lncRNA from 1 species